GGAAUCUGGUGACAUGAUGAGGAUGGAUCGAGAGCUGUAAAGACACGUGCUUUUUCAAGAGUAGUUGGGAAGGGAACAGUUUUGAGCAACACUGAGGGCCGUGGCAGAACAUUGUUGCUCCAUAUCACCAGCCUCAUCAGACUUCUGAAUGCACUGUGAAUGGCAGGCUUGCUGGCUCAAGCAAGAUGUCAAGGAGGAACUCUCAGAUCUCUAGAGGGGGUGCCUCGUGGUGCAGGAAGUCCAAGCAAGCGUGGCCCCAUCCAAGAGGCAGAGGGUCGACCCGGAAGAAGGGACCAGUGACUGACUCUGAGUCUACAGGCUGCCCUCUCAGAGUUCUGCUUCUGCCUAGCAUAGAUCGAAGGGGCAGCGCAGCUGGCAGAAGCUGAGAGCCCUUGAGGGACAAAGUAACUUCUGAGGGGGGAAAACUGGAAUAGCAGCUACAACCAAAAAAACAGCUAGACUGAAAGAAGUUAGGAGAAUUGACUCCCCUUCAGCCAGUCAGAGACC